rnacentral:lncRNA from 13 species
UAACACUGGAAUUAAUCACGCAGUGUAGCCUAGUGGUUAGAGUGUUGGACUAGUAACCGAAAGGUUGCAAGUUCAAAUCCCCGAGCUGACAAGGUACAAAAUCUGUCGUUCUGCCCCCUGAACAAGGCAGUUAACCCACUGUUCUUAGGCCGUCAUUGAAAAUAAGAAUUUGUUCUUAAAUGACUUGCCUAGUUAAAUAAAGGUACAAAUAAAUAUAUAUAUAAUAUUUAACCACCUCCAGAAAGUUGAUUGCAUCAUUUCUCUCUUCAUUUUAUUCACAGAUCCUCUAUUUGCCAAACUAGAGGGACAUGAAGUCUGACUCCUUCCUCAACAUGGGGACCUGCCCUGAGGAUGUUGGACACCACUGUUACACCUUCAGCCUCGUUGAUUUCCUGUCAGACUGGUUGUUUUUCAACUCCAUUCCACAGACGGACUGACCUGAACUUUUACCAGAACAGGAAUACAAUGUUCAACAGACUCUCUCCUCACCAGUGGACUGACUACUGAGACUGGUUGUCUUUGAACUCAAGAGGAACACAAUGUUCAUCAGACUCUACUCAGACUGGUCGUCUUUGAACUCAAGAGGAACACAAUGUUCAUCAGACUCUACUCAGACUGGUCGUCUUUGAACUCAAGAGGAACACAAUGUUCAACAGACUCUACUCAGACUGGUCGUCUUUGAACUCAAGAGGAACACAAUGUUCAACAGACUCUCUCCUCACCAGUGGACUGACUACUGAGACUGGUUGUGAGGUCACAGGAAAUAGAGUGAUCUGUUAGGAGGGAUGCAACAUUGUAAUCCUGAUUUAGAUGAUGGUUAUAAGGAGAGUUCAGGUCGUAACCAGUCCACUGAGAUGAAUGUAGAUGUCGAUACCCUGGCCAAUAUAAAAGGCUUUGGAGAGGGACCACGCUUUCAGGAGAAAGCGUGGUCCCUCUCCAAAGCCUUUUAUAUUGGCCAGGGUGUCGACAUCUACAUUCAUCUCAGUGGACUGGUUACGACCUGAACUCUCCUUAUAACCAUCAUCUAAAUCAGAAGAACAAUGCUGCAUCCCUCCUAACAGAUCACUCUAUUUCCUGUGACCUCACAACCAGUCUCAGUAGUCAGUCCACUGGUGAGGAGAGAGUCUGUUGAACAUUGUGUUCCUCUUGAGAUAAAAGACGACCAGUCUGAGUAGAGUCUGUUGAACAUUGUGUUCCUCUUGAGUUCAAAGACGACCAGUCUCAGUAGUCAGUCCCACUGGUGAGGAGAGAGUCUGUUGAACAUUGUGUUCCUGUUGAGUUCAAAGACGACCAGUCUGAGUAGAGUCUGAUGAACAUUGUGUUCCUCUUGAGUUCAAAGACGACCAGUCUGAGUAGAGUCUGAUGAACAUUGUGUUCCUCUUGAGUUCAAAGACGACCAGUCUGAGUAGAGUCUGUUGAACAUUGUGUUCCUCUUGAGUUCAAAGACGACCAGUCUGAGUAGAGUCUGUUGAACAUUGUGUUCCUGUUCUGGUAAAAGUUCAGGUCAGUCCGUCCGUGGAAUGGAGUUGAAAAACAACCAGUCUGACAGGAAAUCAACAAGGCUGAAGGUGUAACAGUGGUGUCCAACAUCCUCAGGGCAGGUCCACAUGUUGAGGAAGGAGUCAGACUUCAUGUCCCUCUAGUUUGGCAAAUAGAGGAUCUGUGAAUAAAAUGAAGAGAGAAAUGAUGCAAUCAACUUUCCGGAGGUGGUUAAAUAUUAUAUAUAUAUUUAUUUUUACCUUUAUUUAACUAGGCAAGUCAUUUAAGAACAAAUUCUUAUUUUCAAUGACGGCCUACCGGGGAACAGUGGGUUAACUGCCUUGUUCAGGGGGCAGAACGACAGAUUUUUACCUUGUCAACUCGGGGAUUUGAACUUGCAACCUUUCGGUUACUAGUCUAACACACUAACCACUAGGCUACACUGCGUGAUUAAUUCCAGUGUUAAUCACAGUGUUUAGUGCCAGUGUUAAUCACAGUGUUUAGUGCCAGUGUUAAUCAGUGUUAAUCACAGUGUUUAGUGCCAGUGUUAAUCACAGUGUUUAGUUCCAGUGUUAAUCACAGUGUUUAGUUCCAGUGUUAAUCACAGUGUUUAGUGCCAGUGUUAAUCACAGUGUUUAGUGCCAGUGUUAAUCACAGUAUUUAGUGCCAGUGUUAAUCACAGUGUUUAGUGCCAGUGUUAAUCACAGUGUUUAGUGC